rnacentral:rRNA from 1 species
CGUUGUGAAUCUCAUCCGCUGGCGAGACGGGACGGCCGUGCCGUUAAACAACCCCUUUAUCACAGGUUGACCUCGGAUCAGGUAGGG